CAUAUCAAUAAGCGGAGGAAAAGAAACCAACAGGGAUUGCCUCAGUAACGGCGAGUGAAGCGGCAACAGCUCAAAUUUGAAAUCUGACCUCUUCGGGGGCCCGAGUUGUAAUUUGAAGAGGGUGUUUCGGGCGAGGCGUCGGCUAAGUCCCUUGGAACAGGCGUCAUAGAGGGUGAGAAUCCCGUAUGCGGCCGGUGACCGGACCCAUGUGAAACCCCUUCGACGAGUCGAGUUGUUUGGGAAUGCAGCUCUAAAUGGGUGGUAUAUUUCAUCUAAAGCUAAAUACCGGCCAGAGACCGAUAGCGCACAAGUAGAGUGAUCGAAAGAUGAAAAGCACUUUGGAAAGAGAGUUAAAAAGUACGUGAAAUUGUUGAAAGGGAAGCGCUUGCGACCAGACCUGACGCCGGGUGAUCAACCGUCGUUCUCGGCGGUGCACUCGCCCGCGCGCAGGCCAGCAUCGGUUCGGGGGGCUGGAUAAAGGCCCCGGGAAUGUAGCUCCCCUCGGGGAGUCUUAUAGCCCGGGGUGCAAUGCGGCCAGCCCGGACCGAGGACCGCGCUUCGGCAAGGAUGCUGGCGUAAUGGUCGUAAGCGGCCCGUCUUGAAACACGGACCAAGGAGUCUAACAUCUAUGCGAGUGUUUGGGUGUCAAACCCGUGCGCGGAAUGAAAGUGAACGGAGGUGGGAACCCCUCGAGGGCGCACCAUCGACCGAUCCAGAUGUAUUCGGACGGAUUUGAGUAAGAGCAUAGCUGUUGGGACCCGAAAGGUACGUUCUAAUUCCUUCCCCUUCCGGUUAUCAGGUAGGUAGUCGGAGUAGAAGAAUGUCGAGAAGUAUGUCUAAGAGAGUUGCUUUCCCGCUAUUACUUGGAAUGCCAGAAUUUGGACCAGUGGACUUUGGGGAUGUAGCAGGCUUAGAGAUACUCCUCGGCAUAUUCUAACUGACUGCCACCCUGUUAAUUGCCUAUUUUCUUUUAUGUAGCAUAGAACUUUAAGCUGACUUUUUCGAAAGAUGAUGAACUAUACUUGAAUAGGGUGAAGCCAGAGGAAACUCUGGUGGAGGCUCGCAGCGGUUCUGACGUGCAAAUCGAUCGUCAAAUUUGAGUAUAGGGGUAAGCCGCUGCAUCAAUUUUCGAGAUCCCCCAGCUAACUAUUCGUCAGCGAAGACUAUCG
rnacentral:rRNA from 1 species